UCAUGGAUGCUGGAAUGCUCCAUGGCUGAAAGCUCCGGCGCCUGAGGAUGGGUCUGCGGCCUAUCAGGUAGUAGUUGGGGUAACGGCCCAACUAGCCUAAAACGGGUACGGGCCUUGAGCGAGGAAGCCCGGAGAUGGACUCUGAGACACGAGUCCAGGCCCUACGGGGCGCAGCAGUCGCGAAAACUUCACACUGCGGGAAACCGUGAUGAGGGAACCCCAAGUGCCCAGGCGUUAGUCUGGGCUGUUCACAUGCCUAAAAAGCAUGUGAAGUAAGGGCUGGGUAAGACCGGUGCCAGCCGCCGCGGUAAUACCGGCAGCCCAAGUGGUGAUCCCUAUUAUUGAGCCUAAAACGUCCGUAGCCGGCCCGGCAAAUCUCUGGGCAAAUCGGGCAGCUUAACUGUUCGAAUUCUGGAGAGACUACCGGGCUUGAGACCGGGAGAGGCCAGAGGUACGUCAGGGGUAGGGGUAAAAUCCUUUAAUCCUUGACGGACCACCGGUGGCGAAGGCGUCUGGCUAGAACGGAUCUGACGGUAAGGGACGAAGGCUAGGGGCGCAAACCGGAUUAGAUACCCGGGUAGUCCUAGCUGUAAACGCUGCAGGCUUGGUGUUGGAACUCCUUAGAGGGGUUCCAGUGCCGUAGCGAAGGUGUU
rnacentral:rRNA from 1 species